rnacentral:rRNA from 1 species
AGCUAUAAUUUACUUGAUCUUGACACAAUCCUACUUGGAUAACUGUGGUAAUUCUAGAGCUAAUACAUGCAUUAAAGCUCUGACCUCACGGGAAGAGUGCAUUUAUUAGAACAAAACCAAGCGGCUUCGGCUGUUUCUGGUUGACUCAUAGUAACUGAGCUGAUCGCAUGGUCUUGCACCGGCGACGUGUCUUUCAAGUAUCUGCCGUAUCAACUUUCGAUGGUAGUGUAUCUGACUACCAUGGUGAUCACGCGUAACGGAGAAUAAGGGUUCGGCUCCGGAGAGUUCGCCUGAGAAAUCGCGAACACAUCUAAGGAAGGCAGCAGGCGCGAAAAUUACCCACUCUCAGCACGAGGAGGUAGUGACGAAAAAUAACGAGACCGUUCUCUUAUGAGGCCGGUCAUCGGAAUGGGUACAAUUUAAACCCUUUAACGAGUAUCUAUGAGAGGGCAAGUCUGGUGCCAGCAGCCGCGGUAAUUCCAGCUCUCAAAGUGCAUAGAAUUAU